AGGGCGGCUUACCAUGCAAGUCGAGCGGUAACAGGAGAAGCUUGCUUCUCGCUGACGAGCGGCGGACGGGUGAGUAAUACUUAGGAAUCUACCUAGUAGUGGGGGAUAGCUCGGGGAAACUCGAAUUAAUACCGCAUACGACCUACGGGAGAAAGGGGGCAACUUGUUGCUCUCGCUAUUAGAUGAGCCUAAGUCGGAUUAGCUAGAUGGUGGGGUAAAGGCCUACCAUGGCGACGAUCUGUAGCUGGUCUGAGAGGAUGAUCAGCCACACCGGGACUGAGACACGGCCCGGACUCCUACGGGAGGCAGCAGUGGGGAAUAUUGGACAAUGGGGGCAACCCUGAUCCAGCCAUGCCGCGUGUGUGAAGAAGGCCUUUUGGUUGUAAAGCACUUUAAGCAGUGAAGAAGACUCCAUGGUUAAUACCCAUGGACGAUGACAUUAGCUGCAGAAUAAGCACCGGCUAACUCUGUGCCAGCAGCCGCGGUAAUACAGAGGGUGCAAGCGUUAAUCGGAAUUACUGGGCGUAAAGCGAGCGUAGGUGGCUUGAUAAGUCAGAUGUGAAAGCCCCGGGCUUAACCUGGGAACGGCAUCUGAUACUGUUAGGCUAGAGUAGGUGAGAGGAAGGUAGAAUUCCAGGUGUAGCGGUGAAAUGCGUAGAGAUCUGGAGGAAUACCGAUGGCGAAGGCAGCCUUCUGGCAUCAUACUGACACUGAGGUUCGAAAGCGUGGGUAGCAAACAGGAUUAGAUACCCUGGUAGUCCACGCCGUAAACGAUGUCUACUAGUCGUUGGGUCCCUUGAGGACUUAGUGACGCAGCUAACGCAAUAAGUAGACCGCCUGGGGAGUACGGCCGCAAGGUUAAAACUCAAAUGAAUUGACGGGGGCCCGCACAAGCGGUGGAGCAUGUGGUUUAAUUCGAUGCAACGCGAAGAACCUUACCUGGUCUUGACAUAUCUAGAAUCCUGCAGAGAUGCGGGAGUGCCUUCGGGAAUUAGAAUACAGGUGCUGCAUGGCUGUCGUCAGCUCGUGUCGUGAGAUGUUGGGUUAAGUCCCGCAACGAGCGCAACCCUUGUCCUUAGUUACCAGCGGUUUGGCNNGGAACUNUAAGGAAACUGCCAUUNCAAACUGGAGGAAGGCGGGGANAACGUCAGUCAUCUGGGCCUUACNACCGGGCUACCCCCNGCUCAAUGGGAGGAC
rnacentral:rRNA from 1 species